ensembl:lncRNA
UGCAGCCAGAUCCAGGAGCAGAUACAAAAAUAAAUGCAUAGUGUAGAUGCAGAGGUCACUGGAGAUAAAGCCUAUCCAUCUUGCAGGUCUAGAUAUAUCUAUGUAACAACACAUUUUCAUUUUGGGGUAAGAAUCUAAGUGCAACAUUGAGAUUUUGUUUCCUUGCAGUCUUUUGGCAGCUGUCUCUCUGGGCGUCUGUCUCUGUGUCUCUCAGAGACCCCUCCUCUUCUUCGUUGUACCACUGGAGAGCAGGUGUUUUGGCUAGUGGACUCUGCCACAGGGAGGGCAGCACGAGAAAGAAAGAGGGAGGCAAGCGAAAUUCCUGAAUGGAUAGACAGAUGCUACGUCAUCGGAGCCGCAUCCUCCACUCCACAAGAGGCUAGGAGCCGGAGAAAGAGGCAGGCCAGCGGCAGGGGCCACCGAGCCAGCGCGCCUCCUCCCAGAAGCCGGAGCAGAGCAUCGGAGAAGAAGCAGCCUCAUUUGCUUCUGGUGUCAUCGUAGGUGUCCACCUUUGGCUUUGGGGGUACUUAUU